rnacentral:rRNA from 1 species
UACGUAGGGUGCACGCGUUGUCCGGAAUUAUUGGGCGUAAAGGGCUCGUAGGCGGUUUGUCGCGUCUGCUGUGAAAACUCAGGGCUUAACCCUGAGCCUGCAGUGGGUACGGGCAGACUAGAGUGUGGUAGGGGAGAUCGGAAUUCCUGGUGUAGCGGUGGAAUGCGCAGAUAUCAGGAGGAACACCGGUGGCGAAGGCGGAUCUCUGGGCCAUAACUGACGCUGAGGAGCGAAAGCAUGGGGAGCGAACAGG